UCUCAAACCAAGUCCUCCUCCAUAGCAGGUGGCUCUAGUGGUCUCGGAGCUUGGUUGUUGUUGAAGUUUUGCAGCUGCUCUCUGUGCUUCUGCAUGCCCUCCUCUGUCAUCCCCUCCAUUCGUGACCUGGCUGCGUGCGUAUGUGUUGAACUUGAAGCUUGGUUGUUGUGAUGGAUGCCGGUUUGACUGCCUCAUUCUUUCCAGCAAAACGGGCUAAGUGCCUGUUUAGCAUUCAAGAAAGGGUAAAAAAACACAAAAGCUUUUCCCAAUUCAUUUGCCUUUGCCCCCUCUCUGUCUCUCUCCGAACAUAAAGGGUAAAAAAUAGAAACAAGAACACAAAUGGGGCAAGGGGCAAAAUCUAAUUCAUCUUCGAUCAAAACAAGAUAACUGGUAGCCCAAACUUAAAAUCUUUUUUUCUUGUUUUGGGAUGAAUUUGGGCAAAGUGAGCAGCCCGAUGAUGCAUUACAAAGUCAGAGGAGAGCAAGCCACCCGAUGAUGCAUUACAGAGUCCAGGAUUGUUUGUGCAGAUCUUAGCUGGGAUAUAUCUUUUGUAGUAAGGUUCUGAAAAUUUAAACGAAAAGACAGUUUAAACA